CCUGUCCCCUCCCCCUCUUCCUGGAAGACCCUCCCAGGAGCCCCUUCAAAGGGGCCCCGCGCGCUCUCCGGGCCAGCCCUCGGGGAGGGCAAACAGGAAAAGGAAACUCGGCAGCCUGGCCCGGGCCGGGGGGUGGGGAACGGCUGUCACAGCAGGGUCCCGGGGAGCUGAGAAGUUGGAGGAGCCCUCCCCCAGCUCCCAUCUGGAAGCCAGAAGGUUUUGGUCUGUGGCUUUCAGGUACCCGGGAGAACCUGUCCUCUCCCUUCCCCCACCGUACAUCUGUGUAGGCAGGAGCGUUAGCAGCCUUCAGCGCCACGCGGGACACCCGAACCUCACGCUCCUGCCAAGCACGUCCGUUUCACCUUCGGCCGGCCUAGGCCUCCAGAUCCUUCAUCCCGCGCUGCGACAGAGCCCGCUCUCGAGACCUUGUGGCACGCUGGGAAGUGGGGAAUCCCCGGGCCGUCGCGGGGAGAGGCCAGGAGUUCCCAGAAGGCGCAGGUCACUGCACGCAGGGGCGAGGUCUGAACGUCCCACCCCGUCUCUGGUUGACGUAAUCGGCCCCUAGGGCUGUCGGCUGGCUACCGAGCUCCGGAACUCCGCCUCUGACUCGUUUCCUCCCAGGCUCCACCCUGCAGUCUCCCCGCCUGAAGCCAGUGGACCUUGUCAGAGUCCAAGACCCCUGGAAACCGGUCCGGACACUUCCUGCUUCACAUUAGUCACAACUUGUGGCCUGGCACCUCCCAGGCUUCAGAAGCUGCCACCUGCCUAUUGAACCCUGCAGAGCAGGGGAGGCGGAUUGUGUCUGUUCCCUUGCUUUUUUGCAAGGAGAUCCACCACGGCCUUAGUUUCCUCAUCUAUUAAGAAAACAACCGGGUGGUGGUGGCACACGCCUUUAAUCCCAGCCCUCCCUUGGGAGGCAGAGGCGCCUUUGAUCUCGGCAUUUGGGAGGUUCCCAGCACUUGGGAGGCAGAGGCAGGUGGAUCUCAGCGCGUUACAAGCCUGCCUGGUCUACAAUCUCCAGAAUUCCAGGAUAGCCAGGGAUAUAUAUAUAUAUUUAUAUAUAUAUAUGUAAAUAUAUAUAUAAAGAUAAGAUCUUAAAUAAAGAUAAGAUGGAAG
rnacentral:lncRNA from 1 species